rnacentral:rRNA from 2 species
UGAGGAAUAUUGGUCAAUGGGCGAGAGCCUGAACCAGCCAAGUCGCGUGAAGGAAGAAGGAUCUAUGGUUCGUAAACUUCUUUUGCAGGGGAAUAAAGUGCAGGACGUGUCCUGUUUUGUAUGUACCCUGAGAAUAAGGAUCGGCUAACUCCGUGCCAGCAGCCGCGGUAAUACGGAGGAUCCGAGCGUUAUCCGGAUUUAUUGGGUUUAAAGGGUGCGUAGGUGGUUUGAUAAGUCAGCGGUGAAAGUUUGCAGCUUAACUGUAAAAAUGCCGUUGAAACUGUCGGACUUGAGUGUAAAUGAGGUAGGCGGAAUGCGUGGUGUAGCGGUGAAAUGCAUAGAUAUCACGCAGAACUCCAAUUGCGAAGGCAGCUCACUGGGGUACAACUGACACUGAGGCUCGAAAGUGUGGGUAUCAAACAGG